CACACACACACACACACUCACACACCCAACUGUCAGGUUUGGCUUUUCUGAGAUGGAAUAAAAUGAAAAGAAAAGUUUUGGCCUUUGGGUAUGAGAGGUAGAGAUGACUGAGUUUUUCUCGGUGAGGAUAAGGAGAGAUAUAGGGUUGUGCCAGACACAGCAGUGAUGAGAGCAGGAGAAGCAGAAGCAUAAGAGAGACUGAUAAGAAGAAACAAAGCCAAAAAAAUGUAAGAAAUAAUAAAAAGAAGGCAAGAAAUGCAAUAACGACCCUUUAGUAGCUAGCACACACAAACACACGCUCUCUCUAUCUAUCUAUAUGUAUUUUUGUAUCUUUCUUCCUUUGUUGUGUGUUCUCCUUCGUGUUGUUAUUUGUUGCCUCAUAAUCAUCAUCAUCGCUUCUUCUUCUUUCCU
rnacentral:misc_RNA from 1 species